rnacentral:rRNA from 1 species
GAUGAACGCUAGCUACAGGCUUAACACAUGCAAGUCGAGGGGAAACGGCAUUGAGUGCUUGCACUCUUUGGACGUCGACCGGCGCACGGGUGAGUAACGCGUAUCCAACCUUCCCAUUACUGUGGGAUAACCUGCCGAAAGGCAGACUAAUACCGCAUAGUCUUCGAUGACGGCAUCAGAUUUGAAGUAAAGAUUUAUCGGUAAUGGAUGGGGAUGCGUCUGAUUAGCUUGUUGGCGGGGUAACGGCCCACCAAGGCUACGAUCAGUAGGGGUUCUGAGAGGAAGGUCCCCCACAUUGGAACUGAGACACGGUCCAGACUCCUACGGGAGGCAGCAGUGAGGAAUAUUGGUCAAUGGACGGAAGUCUGAACCAGCCAGGUAGCGUGCAGGAUGACGGCCCUAUGGGUUGUAAACUGCUUUUGUAUGGGGAUAAAGUUAGGGACGUGUCCCUAUUUGCAGGUACCAUA